AGCAAGCGGUUCCAGGUUCCAUUCUUGGGGUGCUUAUGCCAUACAUAUUUUUUCUCUCCAUUUUAAAACACUUUACUCAGCCUCACCCACGAGGAACUUAAUUUGUUAAUUAGUUCAAUCAGGUUUUAGAUAAGUUAAAACAAAAAAUGUGAUGUGGGAUCACCAGCACUGGUAUAGGAACCCAUGAAUUAAACAAAGUCAUUACUAAUUUGCUUACCCCCUUACAGAUCGGGCUACGUGAUUCAUCUCCUGUUGUGCUGACACACACAUGCAGUUCAUGUGUUGCAGGCACUGCCCUAUGCAACCACAUAGUGGCUUUGCUUUUUCAAACUGCACAUUUCUCUCAGCUCAGUGUGCCAGUAGUUCCUCCUGUGCACAGCUGUACUGAAACUGAACAGCGCUGGCACAAACCUCGGACAAUUGGUGUAAAGCCAGGACCAAUCAACAACAUGAUCACCUGUGCCAAAUCAAAAGUCUCAAGGCGUAGUUAGGAGUGGACUCUACAGGGGCAUGGUGGGCCCUUUACCGGAUCCAUGCAUGUUUAGAGUGGCAGAGGCUUAUGAAAAAUUCAGCCUUGAAGACAAGCCGCUGGUGACCACCAUGGGCAUGGAACUCAACAAGCCAGCUGUGCAGUGUGCAUUUGGUAUGGUGCAGGAGGGCAGUGUUCUGUCAUAUCAGCAGCCUGUUUUACCAUCACGACACAUCACGCUGCAUCCUGAUGUUCUAUCAACCCCACUUCUGCCUCUGAAAGACCACCACCUUGAUGCACCCACCUGUGCUUUUGUGUGCACUGAACAGGAGCUUUUUGAUAUGGCUCACAAAAUUGAGGUGUCAACUCGGGAGCAGAGUUCUUGGGCUGAGUGGCAUCUGCUCCGCAAGCCUAGAGUAACAAAUAAUUAAUAAAUAAUAAUAAUAAAUAAUAAUAAAUAAUAAAUAUUGGAAACAGAAUUUGUUUAGACUUAAUGUUUUAAUGUACAAAAAGUAUACAAAAUAUUUACAGAACCUGGUGUGUCUAAAAUAUGCUCUUUUACAGUUUAAUAAAUACAUAAUUUGUGGACAGAAAUGAGAAAAUGUAAAUAUUGAAUAUUCUGUAUACUUAUUAAAUUAUAGGGCGGCACGGUCGGUAGCACUGUCGCCUCACAGCAAGAAGGUCCUGGGUUCGAUCCCCAGGUGGAGCGGUCCGGGUCCUUUCUGUGUGGAGUUUGCAUGUUCUCCCCGUGUCUGUGUGGGUUUCCUCCGGGUGCUCCGGUUUCCUCCCACAGUCCAAAGACGUGCAAGUGAGGUGAACUGGAGAUAUAAAAUUGUCUGUAACUUUUCAAUAUAACUUGUGAACUUGUGAAGUGUAAAACAUGAUAUUAAAAUCCUAAUAAACAAACAAAAUUAAAUCAUAUGUUUACUUAAUAAAAGAUUGUUUGUGUUUUUGUGAAA